GACGAACGCUGGCGGCGUGCCUAAUACAUGCAAGUAGAACGCUGAAGAGAGGAGCUUGCUCUUCUUGGAUGAGUUGCGAACGGGUGAGUAACGCGUAGGUAACCUGCCUGGUAGCGGGGGAUAACUAUGGGAAACGAUAGCUAAUACCGCAUAAAAUUGAUUAUUGCAUGAUAAUUAAUUGAAAGAUGCAACUGCAUCACUACCAGAUGGACCUUCGUUGUAUUAGCUAGUUGGUGAGGUAACGGCUCACCAAGGCGACGAUACAUAGCCGAACUGACAGGGUGAGCGGCCACACUGAGAGUGAGACACGGCCCAGAGUCCUACGGGAGGCAGCAGGAGGGAAUCUUCGGCAAUGGGGGGAACCCUGACCGAGAAACGCCGCGGGAGUGAAGAAGGUUUUCGGAUCGUAAAGCUCGGUUGUAAGAGAAGAACGGGUGUGAGAGUGGAAAGUUCACACUGUGACGGUAUCUUACCAGAAAGGGACGGCUAACUACGUG
rnacentral:rRNA from 1 species